UACGUAGGGGGCAAGCGUUGUCCGGAUUUAUUGGGCGUAAAGAGCGUGUAGGCGGCCAGGUAGGUCCGUUGUGAAAACUGGAGGCUUAACCUCCAGCUGUCGAUGGAAACCAUCUGGCUAGAGUCCGGAAGAGGAGAAUGGAAUUCCCGGUGUAGCGGUGAAAUGCGCAGAUAUCGGGAAGAACACCCGUGGCGAAGGCGGUUCUCUGGGACGGUACUGACGCUGAGACGCGAAAGCGUGGGGAGCGAACAGG
rnacentral:rRNA from 1 species